rnacentral:rRNA from 1 species
GACGAACGCUGGCGGCGUGCUUAACACACGCAAGUCGAACGGAAAGGCCCUGCUUUUGUGGGGUGCUCGAGUGGCGAACGGGUGAGUAACACGUGAGUAACCUGCCCUUGACUUUGGGAUAACUUCAGGAAACUGGGGCUAAUACCGGAUAGGAGCUCCUGCUGCAUGGUGGGGGUUGGAAAGUUUCGGCGGUUGGGGAUGGACUCGCGGCUUAUCAGCUUGUUGGUGGGGUAGUGGCUUACCAAGGCUUUGACGGGUAGCCGGCCUGGGAGGGUGACCGGAUACAUUGGGACUGAGAUACGGCCCAGACUCCUAUGGGAGGCAGCAGUGGGGAAUAUUGUAUAAUGGGCGGAGGCCUGAUGCAGCAACGCCGCGUGCGGGAUGACGUCAUUCGGUUUGUAAACCGCUUUCGCCUGUGACGAAGCGUGAGUGACGGUAAUGGGUAAAGAAGCACCGGCUAACUACGUG